rnacentral:rRNA from 1 species
GAGUUUGAUCGUGGCUCAGGACGAACGCUGGCGGCGUGCUUAACACAUGCAAGUCGAACGGAAAGCGCUCUUCGGAGUGACUCGAGUGGCGAACGGGUGAGUAACACGUGGGUGAUCUGCCCUGCACUUUGGGAUAAGCCUGGGAAACUGGGUCUAAUACCGGAUAGGACUACGAAUCGCAUGGUUUGUGGUGGAAAGCUUUUGCGGUGUGGGAUGGGCCCGCGGCCUAUCAGCUUGUUGGUGGGGUGAUGGCCUACCAAGGCGACGACGGGUAGCUGGUCUGAGAGGAUGAUCAGCCACACUGGGACUGAGAUACGGCCCAGACUCCUACGGGAGGCAGCAGUGGGGAAUAUUGCACAAUGGGCGCAAGCCUGAUGCAGCGACGCCGCGUGAGGGAUGACGGCCUUCGGUUGU